ACAGAACAGAUAUAGCCCAGACAGCUGCACUGCAAAUUUCCCUACAAUGCCCUGCCAAUGUGCUUCAACCCUGACCUAGGGUAUGUCUACACUACA
rnacentral:sRNA from 1 species